UUUUAGUGAACUUUAGUUGGUGGCAAUUGUUGAACUUGAGUUUGUGGCGUUUGUUGAACUUGAGUUUGUGGUGUUUUUAAACUUGAGUUUGUGAAGUGUUUGAACUAGAUUUUACGGUUAUUUUUAAACUUGAGUCUGUGUCUUGUUUGAACUUGAGUUUGUGUUGUGACUGAACUUGAGUUUUUGUUUUUUUUUAACUUGAGGUUGUGGAAAUUGUUAAACGUGCAAAUUGGGCAUUGGUUGAACUUGAGUUCGUGUGUUUGUUGAACUUGAGUUUUUGUCGUUUCGAACUUGAGUUUGUGGUGUUUUUGAACUUGAGUUUGUGUGUUUGUUGAACUUGAGUUUUUGCAUGUUUAAACUUGAGUAUGUGGUGUUUUUGAACUUGAGGUUUUGGCAAAUGUUAAACUUGAUAUUUGGGUGUUGUUUGAACUUGAGUUUGUGUCGUGUUUGAACUUGAGUUUGUGUUGUGUUUGAACUUGAGUUUGUCGUGUUUCAACUUGAUUUUGUGUCGUGUUUCAACUUGAGUUUGUUGCAAUUUUUGAACUUGAUUUUUGAACUUGAGUCUUUGGUU